GGAGCCUACAUGGAACACAGGUACGCAGGACCCAAGUCCAUCAACAUCCUUGGCCUCAGACGUGGAGAGCUUGAUCUCACUCACAAUGGUUGGGCUAACCGGGUAAACAUCUGUCAACAAGACCUGCUUUGGAUAAGAAACAUGAAAGAUGGCACGAUAAUGACUAACAUGAUUGAACUUAUGCCUUUUUUAAUUUGUAGGUUGGUCUCAAGGGUGAGGCCAAUGGCAUUUUCACUGAGGAGGGAUCACAAAAGGUUAAAUGGAGUCCACUUGCAGGACCUGGAAGGGCAAUCUCCUGGUACAAGGUAAGAAAUACUACCUAUAAACCAAACCAGUUGACAAAUAUUGGAAACUUAAGAACUUCCAAGUUGUUUCCUUUUUCUUUUGUAUGUUCUGAAUUCAAUUUUUCACAGACAAGAUUUACCACCCCAGAGGGAAGAGGUCCGGUUGCCAUCCGUAUGACUGGUAUGGGGAAGGGAAUGAUUUGGGUGAAUGGUCGUAGCAUUGGUCGACACUGGGUCAGCUUCCUCUCUCCUCUUGGACUACCUACUCAUGCAGAGUAAGCCAAUCACUCACUCACUAUGAUUGUUGGCCUUGAAAUCCAAGUUAUUAAUCUUUGUUUGUACCAGGUACCAUAUCCCAAGAGCUUACCUCAACCCAAAAGACAACUUGCUUGUUAUAUUGGAGGAGGACCAAGGAACUCCAGAGAAGAUUGAGAUCAUGAAUGUUAAUAGAGAUACAGUGUGCAGUAUCAUUGAGGAGAGCGAUCCCCCCAAUGUCAAUUCAUGGGUGUCUUCCCAUGGACAGUUCCGUCCCAGAGUGAGCAAUGUUGC
rnacentral:lncRNA from 1 species